ensembl:lncRNA
AUGUCUGCUUUUUCCCUCUCUCUUGAGUUAUCUACAUGUCUCUUUCCCUCUCUAAUGCAUGGCUCUUUUUUUCAUCCUUUUUUUCGCUUUCUCAUGCUGGGCAAAAAGAUGAAGGGUAAGCAUGGUAAGACCAUUGUAGGAAAGAAAGAGAGCCAAACAAAGGAGAGAAAGCUCUCAAAGCAGAGUAGCUUCCCUUCGUCUUCCCCACCUCGUAGGGGGGACACUGUCUCCGCUUGCCAGGCGUUGCCCGCCGAGGUCCCGUUGAGCCGCAGCGCUCGACAGAGACAGAAGAGGACCGGCCAGAACAAAGAGAAUCUGAUCAUGGCCACGGGCAAGCUGGAGAGGAGACCAAGUAAAAACAAACCUCAGAGUGUAGGGGACAUCGGGAAGGCAUCCAAGCACUGUCCCAGGCCAGGUCAGGGUGAAGGCCAGCUGAUAGAGGUUGGCAAGAAGCAGGUGCCACGCUCCAAACAAAGUCCCGAAAACAAAAACACAUCUUCAGGUGUUGGCUCUGAAGCUGCGGUGGCCAAAGUUAAGCAAGUGCAGCCCCAAGCGUUUAAAAGCAAACCGAUUGUCGUGCAAAGUCAAUAUGCUGGAGUUGGUUCGCCAGGUACACGUGCUCACAAGGACUCGCCUGGCUUUCACCUGAGUGACGCCCUGGAUGAGGAAAGUACGGGAAGCUCUCGACUGGUUUCUGAGGUGAACAGAGACUCAGAAUCUAAAGAGGACUUGGAUUUAUCCAAAAAAUCUAAGAACGAGAAAAACAAAAAAGAGGCUCAGUCAAAGAAACAGUCCAAGCUCGCAAAAAAAAGUCACAAAGAGCCGUUAGAUGAGAUUGGCCUGCUUUCCGCGACUGCCUCGCUUGCUGCCGGAGCGGUGUUAAUGAAAGAGGUGGUGUCCAGAAGCUGUUUCAGCUCGCCGACGACGUCCCCGUCUGAGAGCAGUGGCGUCCUGAAAGACGGCGUGAGGAAAUCAAGAAGUGAUGAGCCCGGAUCUGCUGACCUGAGCAACAAAUCUGCAGUCAGCAUCAGUAUCAUACCUGCGUCUGAGAGUCCUGAAGCGAGGACGAGUCGGGAGGAGAAGAAGGCAAUGAGUCAGGAUGGACGUACGGAUGGCAGUGAGGAGCAGACAAGCUCUGCAACAGUCAAGCAGGAGGAGGAGGAGGAGGAGGUUGAAGAAGAUGAGAGGGGGCAGAGAAUGAGUGCAGAAGUAAGCGAGGAGGAAGAAGAAGAAGAGGAGGAAGAGAGUGUUGAUAAAAUCGCAGCAGAGGAAGAAAAUGACAAAGACAGCGACACUCUGAAGAUGGAAGUUAAGUCAGAAACUAGCUUAGAUGAGGAGGAAGACGAGAGUGCUGCUGAGGAAGAGGAGGAGGAGGAGGAGGAAGAGGAUGCAAGCAGGACAGCAGGGAGCGAAAGUGAAGAUGAGACUGAAGAGAAAGAGAGCAAAGGAGGUGAUGAUCAAGAGGAGGAGGAGGAAGGCGAGGAAGGGUCAAGUCAUGAAACAGAAAGCAAAGGAGGUUUGACCGAAAAUGAGGAGGAGGAAGCUGAAGAAGAAGAAGAAGAAGAAGAAGAAGAAGAAGAAGAAGAGGGGGAUUUGGAAAGCGAGGGCGAGGAAGAGGAGGAUGAGAGUGAAUCUUUAAAGUCUUCAGAGGACAGAGAAGAGAGUGAUGUUGAGAGCAUGAGUGAGGGAGAGGACGAGUGGAAAAAGGAGAGUAGCACUGAGGAGGAAGGGGAGAGUGAUGACGAAAAUGAGGAAAGUGAAGAAGAGAAUGAGGAGGAAGAGGAAGAGGAGGAGAGUGAAAAUGAAGAGCAGGAGGAGGAGGAGGAAGAAGAAGCAGAGGAUGAGAGUGCUGACAAAGAGACGGAUGAAGAAAAACAGAGUGAAGAAGAGGAGGAGGAUGAAGAAGACGAGGAAGAUGGUGCUGAGGAAGAGGAAGAAGAAGAAAAAGAGAGUGAGGAUGAGGUAGUGGAAGAGGAGGAGGAGGAGGAAGGAGAGGAGAUGAAGGAGGAGGAAGAAAGUGAGGAAGAUGAAAUGGAAGAUAAUGAAGAAGAGGAGGAAGAGAGUGAGGGAGAGCAAGAUGAAGAGGGUGAAGAGGAGGAGGAGGAGGAGGAGGAGGAGGAGGAGGAAGAAGAAGAGGUCAAAAAAGUCAAAAGACAAAGUGCAAAAUCUACAAGUAAACCGAGGUCAGGGGUCAGAGGUCAUGCAGCGGGGGAGUCUGAGGAGCUUUGGGGCGAAGUUCUGCCUCAGUACCUCCACCUGAAAUAA